GACGAACGCUGGCGGCGUGCUUAACACAUGCAAGUCGGGCGGUAAGGCCCUUUCGGGGGUACGACGAGCGGCGAACGGGUGAGUAACACGUGGGUGGACCUGCCCUCAGCUCUGGGAGUAAGCCUGGGAAACCGGGUCUAAUACUGGAUAUGACUCCAUGACGCAUGUUGUGGGGUGGAAAGCCUUGUGCGGCUGAGGAUGGGCCCGCGGCCUAUCAGCUUGUUGGUGGGGUGAUGGCCUACCAAGGCGACGACGGGUAGCCGGCCUGAGAGGGCGACCGGCCACACU
rnacentral:rRNA from 1 species